rnacentral:piRNA from 1 species
UCUCAGGAAGACAGGUUCAGCCUUUCAGU